rnacentral:tRNA from 1 species
GAGGAUAUAGCUCAGCAGUAGAGCGCAUGCUUAGCAAGCACAAGGUCCUGGGUUCAGUCCCCAGUAUCUCCA